GAUGAACGCUAGCGGCAGGCUUAAUACAUGCAAGUCGAGGGGCAGCACGGUUAGCAAUAACUGGUGGCGACCGGCGCACGGGUGCGUAACACGUAUACAAUCUACCUUAAACAGGGGGAUAGCCUUUCGAAAGAGAGAUUAAUACCCCGUAAUAAAUUGAACGGCAUCGUUUGAUUUUGAAAGCUCCGGCGGUUUGAGAUGAGUAUGCGUCUGAUUAGCUAGUUGGUGAGGUAACGGCUCACCAAGGCGACGAUCAGUAGGGGAUCUGAGAGGACUAACCCCCACACUGGUACUGAGACACGGACCAGACUCCUACGGGAGGCAGCAGUAAGGAAUAUUGGUCAAUGGAGGCAACUCUGAACCAGCCAUGCCGCGUGCAGGGAUGACGGCCCUAUGGUUGUAAACUGCUUUUAUACAAGAGAAAACCCUGGUAACG
rnacentral:rRNA from 1 species